AUUUGGUUCACCAAAUUCCAAAAUUUUAUAUUUUUACUAUUCAGUUUUCACUUGAAUGUCUAUUAAAAUUAAAUGAUUUGUUAGAAACUAAUCACAUUGUUUACAUCAUAAUAAAUUUAAAUUAAUCAAUCAAAAGUUAAUGCCAAAAGACUCGAUAGUUGAUGAAAAUAAAAUUAUAAAAUCUAUAUAUCUAACUAUCAACCCAAAACGGAAAUUAAGCUAAAACAUGUGUUACAUCCAAAUUUAUAGACAAAAUAGAAACUAUACUUUAAGUUUGAGGACUAAAAAAAUAUUUGACGCAAGAAAAAAGGAAGAGAAAUUAUUAAAAAUAGCAAAAUAAACAAAAUAUUUAUUUUUUACAAAAUAAAUUAAGUAUAAUAGAUUUUUUAUUUACUUCAGUGAUUUUUCGGAGCUUUUGCAAAAAAAGAAAAAAAAACUAUGAUAAUAGGGUUUAUGUUACGACAUUUUAUAAAUUUACAAAAGUAGCAAAUUUAAAAUAUUCGUAAUAUGUAAAAAAAAUUGUUAUUAUGAGCUAUUUUUUAAAAAAUGUUUUUGUUAAUUUUUCUUUUUUUCAUGUAAACCAUUUUUUAGUAUUAUUUUUUAAAACCAGCGGAAAAAAAACUUAGGAAGAAAUCUAACUGGAUUUAAAUUGUUAAUGGGCUGCAGGCCUUCUAAUAGAGAGCCCAUUUAGAAAGGAACUCUGACAAAAGGCCCAAAGGGCCCAUCCAGUUUCUACUUUUUCAAUUCAACAAACCACUUUCACCUUUUCAUUCCCAAGUUUUGUUGAUGUUUAUAUUCAACUCUGUAGCAAUGGAUAUCACUGUUAGAACCAGAAUUGAAAUGACUAUUUGAGUGUUUUGGGAUGUUGAGUUGAUUAUUAUAGCAAGUGGUUAUUAUAGUUAAUAGUUAUAAUAAGUAGUGUUUGGGAUGUAAACUAUUUUAGUAUAGAUUAAAAUAGUUUGUAAUUAGUGUGUAAAUUAUUAUUAUUAUUAUUUGGGUAUAAUUUAGUAAACAUUUAGCAAAUAAUAAAAGAGAAAGACUAAUUAAAAGUAGUAAAUACGAUAGCAAAUUGAAUAUUAAAAUAGUAUUUACUAUACUUAAAUGGUGGGAUAUAAAUAUUUGAAAUUAUUGGUGCUCAAACAUGAAGUGAGCUAUAAUAAGAAUAAAUCGUUGUGCCAACUUCUAGUUUUUGUCCUAAACAACCCCUAAACGAUAAACUCUAUCACUUAUGGACUAUAAAAGUAUGCAGUGAGUCGAUACCUACGAUACAAAAUGAUAGGUGGCAGAUUCAUGGAGGCUCAAUAGCAUGAAAUCCAAAAGAUAGCACCUAAAUCAUCAGCGAAGAUUUCAAGAACGCUCUAAGGCACAAAACCAAGGAGUUCUCACUGGAAAGUCUUAUCACAAGAUUAAGGAUAUAGGAGGAGCCGAGAAAACAUGAUCAAAAGGAGGAGGUGAAUGUGAUUCCCAUAAAGAAGUCUACUGGUGCUAAUACCGGAUCUGAAGCCAAAAUGAAAUAAGAUGAAGUGUGGAUCCAACAAACAGAACAACCCUUAGUGCAUAAGUAUAAUACAAAUUGUUGUUAUAAUUGUAAUAAGUCUGGACACUUAGCUAGGAAUUGUAGAAAUAGGAAUCGUCUUGCUGCACAGACGAACCCGGUAGAUCAUCACACAACCAAGGUGGCUGGUGUUGGAGAAGUAGAACUGAAAUUCACAUCUGGCAAGAUGCUCGUGCUGAAGGAAGUUCUGCACACUCCAGAAAUUUGAAAGAAUUUGGUCUCCAGAUAUCUCCUCAACAAGGUUGGCUUCACUCAAACCAUAGGAUCAGACUUGUUUACCUUAACAAAAAUUAAUGUAUUUGUGAGAAAGAGUUACACUACUGAUGACAUGUUUAAGUUGAAUUUGAUAAUUAAUAAGAAUUUAUCUUCUGCUUA